rnacentral:rRNA from 1 species
UACGUAGGGGGCAAGCGUUAUCCGGAUUUACUGGGUGUAAAGGGUGCGUAGGCGGCACGCCAAGUCAGUUGUGAAACCCGUAGGCUCAACCUACGGCUUGCAAUUGAAACUGGCGAGCUAGAGUACAGGAGAGGAAAGCGGAAUUCCUAGUGUAGCGGUGAAAUGCGUAGAUAUUAGGAAGAACACCGGUGGCGAAGGCGGCUUUCUGGACUGAAACCGACGCUGAGGCACGAAAGCGUGGGGAGCAAACAGG